UACAGAGGUCCCAAGCGUUGUUCGGAUUUACUGGGCGUAAAGGGUGCGUAGGCGGUCGAAUAAGUCUGAUGUGAAAUCUUCGAGCUUAACUCGAAAAUGGCAUUGGAUACUAUUCGGCUUGAGGUCUGGAGGGGGGACUGGAAUUCUCGGUGUAGCAGUGAAAUGCGUAGAUAUCGAGAGGAGCACCAGUGGCGAAGGCGAGUCCCUAGACAGGUCCUGACGCUGAGGCACGAAAGCUAGGGGAGCAAAC
rnacentral:rRNA from 1 species